rnacentral:rRNA from 1 species
GUAGGUGGCAAGCGUUGUCCGGAAUUAUUGGGCGUAAAGCGCGCGCAGGCGGUUCUUUAAGUCUGAUGUGAAAGCCCACGGCUCAACCGUGGAGGGUCAUUGGAAACUGGAGAACUUGAGUACAGAAGAGGAAAGCGGAAUUCCACCUGUAGCGGUGAAAUGCGUAGAGAUGUGGAGGAACACCAGUGGCGAAGGCGGCUUUCUGGUCUGUAACUGACGCUGAGGCGCGAAAGCGUGGGGGAGCAAACAGGAUUAGAUACCCUGGUAGUCCACGCCGUAAACGAUGAGUGCUAAGUGUUAGGGGGUUUCCGCCCCUUAGUGCUGCAGCUAACGCAUUAAGCACUCCGCCUGGGAGUACGGCCGCAAGGCUG